GCACGCCCGACAGAUCCACGUUACUGCUUGUCCCCGGGACAGAGUGCGGGAAAUCAAUGCGGUUCAAAUACGUUCAUGGACGCAGGAGUGCUGAUUCCCUCCAGAUUUCGCCCGAAGGCGCAGGUUUCAAGGCUGCACACAGUGACUGAGCAUCCGAACAUUUCAAAAUUCAAAGGUUCAAGCUUCAAGGUUUUACUUCAAAAAGAUGUUUUUGCUGAAUUGAUCAAGACUGACUGUAAGAGUGUAAACAUCGAGUAACUAUGAUGUUCGAGCCCUCUCAAGAACAGUACAUUUUUCAGAACUGAAGCUGCAGGUUGUAUCUUCACACCUGCACUGAGACAGAGCAACAGUGGGACAAAUCCAAACAGCAGGUUUGGAACCAGGGCCAGUUCCAUGGAUCAAUGAACUCAAAGACAUUUUUGAAUAAUGAUGCAGGAGUACGCUGUACAAGAACUUGGCUGGUGACCCACUUUACAUCUCCUUGCUAAACACUGGAGAAUCAUGCAAAGACAUUGAUGUAACAAAUUGACCUCUUACCACAACCAUGGCCUUCAGUGACAAGAAGACCAGUCUUAAGACUGCAUUGGUGAGUGUGUUCUCUAACCAGGAGCCCAGAUUACCCACAAAAUCUGUAAACAUUUACCAAGAUCCUCCUCUUUACCUGCCACUGCCACUCAGUUAGUACAGGCAAGAUCCCACACAGAGUGUGCAUGUCUACAGUGAGGAGGAACUCUUCAACCUUGAAAGCUUACUGGUCACAGAGGACAUUGUACAUAAGAUUGAGACAGCAAAACGAGAACAGACAGCUGACCAGGAAUGGCAUCAGCUCAACAACGCAAGGAUCACAUCUUCAUCUUGUUAUGUGAGGGGUGAAAUUGUACAGAGAAUGCUCUAUUUUGAGACAUAUGUCAGAAUACUGGAGAACAAGGAGAACAAAAUAUUUGACACCAUUAUUGUGCCCACUCUAUCAGAUGAGCUAUCUGAUCUCCAAGUGAACUGUGUAACUUAAUUCAGUGAGAUCCUUAGCCCAAGCUUUAACCAGGGGUUUGUUUUGCUAAUACUUAGGAAGCUGACAUGUGCACUGCCAGCAGUCGUUAGAGGGAUAAUGGUGUCAAAUAUUUUGCUCUCCUUCAUGCUUCUAAUUGCUCUCUCCACAGAUAUCAUUAGACGUGCAAUGUUCAACACGAAUAGUGUGUGCGAUGGGAUUUGUACUGUGAAAACAUUUUAUGCUAGUAUUCUGACGUGGGCGUCAGAAUACUUUCAAAACACAUUGGCAUCAUGGUUCCAGUCAUCUCAUGAGAGAGAGCCAUAUCCCAAUUGCAUUGAAUAAGGUGGAUCAAUUUCAUGAUGUUCUGCCAAUUUUUCACAGUUCAGCAACAGGUAGUUGAGGUAACUUCAGCUUGUUUAGCUUUUAUUCAGUGUUUGUGUUAUAAAUGUCAUAAGUCUUAUAAGUAAUCACAUUUUUAACUAGAUUAUAAUAUUUUUGCUAUUUGUACUGUUAUUUAUCUGCUAAGCUCCAAUAUUUUAUUAUUAUGAAUUUUCUGCUAAAUUAUAGUAUUUCUGCUACUAUGUUACAUUUCUAAUAAAUUAUACUAUUAUACAACUGUCUAUUAAGUUAUACUGUUGUACCAUUUAUUCCAAGUUGUUUUAUUUGUGCUA